rnacentral:lncRNA from 1 species
GAGAAAAUAAAGAGGAAUUCGAGCAUACCCCAUGUCCAUAUCAUCGUAGUCGUCGUCGGCCAUAUUGGUACCAAAACCCAAGUUGCCCCCCUUGAAACCCUAAAUCACAAUAUAAGAUUAGAAAAAUCGCAGGAAGAAAUGCGUGUAGCUUUCGCAUAUUAAACUAAAUCAGAAAAAAGCUCCGAAAUAUAUCACAACACAAUAUUACUCGUUAAAUCCGGUUUCCAGCAGCAGUGCAGGAACUGAAGAAAGAAUCAAGGAACACGGCUCCCCAACGGAUGGCGAAGGAAGAAGAAAUCAAAGGAAAAACGGGCAAAAAGAGGAUGAUAAAGAAUCUCACCGGAGCCGACGCCCUCGCUCGAAGCACCCUUUUCCCGGUCGCGUACCCCUACGCUCGACAGCGAACGUCGCUACUAAGAGAACGAGGGAAAGGAUGAAUAUCACCACACCUGAUAUAUAUAUAUAUACGAAAUUUGUCAAAUAACUUUUUAUUUCGUCUCUUUUAUUUACUACGAUGCCUAUAUGUUCCUUAAAUUGUAUAAGUACCCUUUUUCCUUCAAAAGGGUUUUCCCUCGCCUUUCCUUCACACUAAUCCUCACAGCUUAAUUAUGUCACUCGUAUGAAUUAAAAUAUGAUUCUGAGAGAAUUAUUUAAAUGAAACAUGACACUUUAUUCUAUGAAUAUUUUCAUAAAAUAAAUACCUGCUAAUUGGAUGGUUCUCACUGAUAACCCCGAAGGGGGAUGAGAUGGAGAGAGCGCGAGAGAUGCUCGGUGGUGGGCAUGGAAGAGAAAUUGCGAGAGCGAGAGAGAGAGAGAGAGAGAGAGAGAGAGAGGAGAGAAAUGCCGGGAGAUUAGGAAUACACAGAAAAAGGGAGGGAGAGAGGGACGGACGGAGGGAGGAGGGAGAGAGAGAGAGAGAGGAGGAAAAUGCUGGGAGAUUGGGAACACGAACACAACACACAGGGAGAGGUUGAUCUCACCUCGAUUUUCGCUCCGGAGCAGCCGUGGUCGCCUACGCCGGGACGAAGCAGCCUCUUCACGUCGCGCGGAGACUCUUGACUCGUCACGACAGACCUUCUCACCGAGUGGGCGGAAGGAGAGCCCCCCAGGACUUCCAUGCUUAUGCCAAUUCAUGUGGCGGCGGUGAAGCUGGCGGCGGUGGCGGUGAAGCCGGCGACGGAGGUGAAGCUGGCGGCGGCGGAGUCGGUCUCCGAGAGCAGGUAGGCGGCGGCGAUGGGAAGAGGUCCUGUCGAGAGAGAGAGAGAUUUAAUCUCUCUCUUGUUGAUGUUGAAUCCUAACCGUUAAAUGGCGCAAAACAAUCAUCCAAUGGAUAGGAUUUAACGUCGACUUUAAGCGAUCGACGAUCCC